rnacentral:rRNA from 1 species
GUGCCACCACCCGCGGUAAUACUUAGGGCGCAGGCGUAAUCCCGGAAUUAUUGGGCCGUAAGGAGCUCGUAGGCGGUUUGUCGCGUCUGCCGUGAAAGUCCGGGGCUCAACUCCGGAUCUGCGGUGGGUACGGGCAGACUAGAGUGAUGUAGGGGAGACUGGAAUUCCUGGUGUAGCGGUGAAAUGCGCAGAUAUCAGGAGGAACACCGAUGGCGAAGGCAGGUCUCUGGGCAUUAACUGACGCUGAGGAGCGAAAGCAUGGGGAGCGAACAGGAUUAGAUACCCUGGUAGUCC